rnacentral:rRNA from 1 species
AUACGGAGGGUCCGAGCGUUAAUCGGAAUUACUGGGCGUAAAGCGUACGUAGGUGGCUUGAUAAGUCGGAUGUGAAAGCCCUGGGCUCAACCUGGGAACUGCAUUCGAUACUGUCUGGCUAGAGUAUAGUAGAGGGAAGUGGAAUUCCGGGUGUAGCGGUGAAAUGCGUAGAUAUCCGGAGGAACACCAGUGGCGAAGGCGGCUUCCUGGACUAAUACUGACACUGAGGUACGAAAGCGUGGGGAGCAAACAGGAUUAGAAACCCCAGUAGUCC